rnacentral:lncRNA from 1 species
UAUAGCCAUCAUGGCCCUUCUUCUUGUACUUCUUGGGACCUUUCUUCAGUUGUGGGUAUUCAGACUUAAAGUAUCUCAAUUUCUUGCAUUCAUAAAUAAUAAGGGGUUGCUCCUUAUCCUUCUCUUUGCUAUGUUCUCCUUUUGUAGGUGGUCUCUUCCUCAUUUCUUAUCUUCUUUUCUUCAAAAACUUCUUAAACCUUCUAGUAAUGAGGGCCAUUUCAUCAUCCU